UAGGGAAUCUUCCGCAAUGGACGCAAGUCUGACGGAGCAACGCCGCGUGAGUGAAGAAGGAUUUCGGUUCGUAAAACUCUGUUGUUAGGGAAGAACAAAUGUGUAAGUAACUAUGCACGUCUUGACGGUACCUAAUCAGAAAGCCACGGCUAACUACGUGCCAGCAGCCGCGGUAAUACGUAGGUGGCAAGCGUUAUCCGGAAUUAUUGGGCGUAAAGCGCGCGUAGGCGGUUUUUUAAGUCUGAUGUGAAAGCCCACGGCUCAACCGUGGAGGGUCAUUGGAAACUGGAAAACUUGAGUGCAGAAGAGGAAAGUGGAAUUCCAUGUGUAGCGGUGAAAUGCGCAGAGAUAUGGAGGAACACCAGUGGCGAAGGCGACUUUCUGGUCUGUAACUGACGCUGAUGUGCGAAAGCGUGGGGAUCAAACAGG
rnacentral:rRNA from 1 species